rnacentral:rRNA from 1 species
GGGUCAGUAGGUUGGUCGUGCCACCGGUACGUACUGGUCUCACUGAUUCCUCCUUCCUGAAGAACCGUAAUGCCAUUAAUUUGGUGUUACGGGGAAACAGGACUGUUACUUUGAAAAAAUUAGAGUGUUUAAAGCAAGCUAACGCUUGAAUACAUUAGCAAGGAAUAAUGAAAUAGGACGAUCGAUCCUAUUUUGUUGGUUUCUAGGAUUGACGUA